CCACGGAAGUUUUCAGAGAUGAGAAUGUGCCUUCGGGAACCGUGAGACAGGUGCUGCAUGGCUGUCGUCAGCUCGUGUUGUGAAAUGUUGGGUUAAGUCCCGCAACGAGCGCAACCCUUAUCCUUUGUUGCCAGCGGUCCGGCCGGGAACUCAAAGGAGACUGCCAGUGAUAAACUGGAGGAAGGUGGGGAUGACGUCAAGUCAUCAUGGCCCUUACGACCAGGGCUACACACGUGCUACAAUGGCGCAUACAAAGAGAAGCGACCU
rnacentral:rRNA from 1 species